AUCAGGAGGUUAGUGCAAUGGCAUAAGCCAGCUUGACUGCGAGCGUGACGGCGCGAGCAGGUGCGAAAGCAGGUCAUAGUGAUCCGGUGGUUCUGAAUGGAAGGGCCAUCGCUCAACGGAUAAAAGGUACUCCGGGGAUAACAGGCUGAUACCGCCCAAGAGUUCAUAUCGACGGCGGUGUUUGGCACCUCGAUGUCGGCUCAUCACAUCCUGGGGCUGAAGUAGGUCCCAAGGGUAUGGCUGUUCGCCAUUUAAAGUGGUACGCGAGCUGGGUUUAGAACGUCGUGAGACAGUUCGGUCCCUAUCUGCCGUGGGCGCUGGAGAACUGAGGGGGGCUGCUCCUAGUACGAGAGGACCGGAGUGGACGCAUCACUGGUGUUCGGGUUGUCAUGCCAAUGGCACUGCCCGGUAGCUAAAUGCGGAAGAGAUAAGUGCUGAAAGCAUCUAAGCACGAAACUUGCCCCGAGAUGAGUUCUCCCUGAGACUUUAGGUCUCCUGAAGGAACGUUGAAGACGACGACGUUGAUAGGCCGGGUGUGUAAGCGCAGCGAUGCGUUGAGCUAACCGGUACUAAUGAACCGUGAGGCUUAACCUUACA
rnacentral:rRNA from 1 species